GACGAACGCUGGCGGCGUGCUUAACACAUGCAAGUCGAACGGAAAGGCCCUGCUUUUGUGGGGUGCUCGAGUGGCGAACGGGUGAGUAACACGUGAGUAACCUGCCCUUGACUUUGGGAUAACUUCAGGAAACUGGGGCUAAUACCGGAUAGGAGCUCCUGCUGCAUGGUGGGGGUUGGAAAGUUUCGGCGGUUGGGGAUGGACUCGCGGCUUAUCAGCUUGUUGGUGGGGUAGUGGCUUACCAAGGCUUUGACGGGUAGCCGGCCUGAGAGGGUGACCGGCCACGUUGGGAUUGAGAUACGGCCCAGACUCCUACGGGAGGCAGCAGUGGGGAAUAUUGCACAAUGGGCGGAAGCCUGAUGCAGCAACGCCGCGUGCGGGAUGACGGCCUUCGGGUUGUAAACCGCUUUCGCCUGUGACGAAGCGUGAGUGACGGUAAUGGGUAAAGAAGCACCGGCUAACUACGUG
rnacentral:rRNA from 1 species